GUAGUAGGUAUGAUAAUUAAAUCUGAAUUUUGUGGCCUCAUUCAACAAUAAAUGGUAUGCCAAUGAUACACAAUAUUAGGAACAAUCAGCUUUGGUUCCACUAAUCAUAAUUUCAACAAUGAUGGGCACAUUACUUGCAAAAGUUGGCUGGUAAUUAAUUACAAGUAGUUGAAGUUCUCGUAACAAAAGCAAUGGUUAUCAGAAUCUUUCAACACUUUGGUUUAGAGGAAAAAAAGAGGGAGGAAGGAAAAUUACGAUAUCCAAUAAAUGAAUUUAGACUAAAGUUAGUCCAAAUUCGUUCAUUGAUUUCCGUAAUUUUCUUUCCACUCAAACAAACGGUCUAAAAACAUCCCUAACGGAGAAGCUUACACAUACUUAGAAAAUGAACAAGGCUUUUACUAAUGCUCUUAUAAGUGAAAGCUUUUAUCAUCUUUCAAUUUUUUCAAGAAAUAAUAAUACUAAUGAUGAUGAUGAUGACAACAGAUUAAUCAUUCUUAGUCUUUAAUCAGGAAAAUUUGAACAGAUUAAUCAUUCUUAGUCUUACACUAACAGAUUUAAUCUAGGCAACUGCUCCAACAUUUUCAUCAUCAUUAAAACUCAGAUUUAAUGUCUGUAAUUUGAAGCCUAAACCUUGUAUGGUUUCUACCAGACUAGAAGCCACUCCUGUAGCUUGGAUUGUUGUCUGCUUUUCCAACUGAACAUGAUAAGCACAAAAAGUCAUUAACCAUACUUAAGUAAAAAUCAAACUCAUAGCAUAAAGUUAACUACAACAAGAUAUUAAAUUGUGUGUUUCAUUUUAUCACUUCAAUUACAAGAUAAUGAUUCAGAUUAAAUCUACUUUAGUUCAUUCAUAUACAUAGCUAAUGACACCAUUGGAAUUAAUGGAAACAAUAUAUGACAUAUCUAUAAGCUAUUUUCGACUUGUUUCCAUAAGUUAUCUAGGAUAACUUUAACUUAAAAUAAUAGUUUAUAACAUAUAUGAAAACAGUUUGAUGUUUUUUAUCUUGUGAUAAAAAUAGCUUAAAAAAUCUAUAUUUAUCAUUUCCUACUCAAAAUUUUCACUACUCA
rnacentral:lncRNA from 1 species